UACGGAGGGUGCAAGCGUUAUCCGGAAUCACUGGGUUUAAAGGGUGCGUAGGCGGCUAUGUAAGUCAGUUGUGAAAUACCUCGGCUUAACCGAAGGAAGUGCGAUUGAUACUGCGUAGCUUGAAUCAGGUUGAGGUAGGCGGAAUGUGACAUGUAGCGGUGAAAUGCUUAGAUAUGUCAUAGAACACCGAUUGCGAAGGCAGCUUACUGGGCUUUGAUUGACGCUGAGGAGCGAAAGCGUGGGGAGCGAACAGG
rnacentral:rRNA from 1 species